rnacentral:rRNA from 1 species
GACGAACGCUGGCGGCGUGCCUAAUACAUGCAAGUAGAACGCACAGUUUAUACCGUAGCUUGCUACACCAUAGACUGUGAGUUGCGAACGGGUGAGUAACGCGUAGGUAACCUGCCUGGUAGCGGGGGAUAACUAUUGGAAACGAUAGCUAAUACCGCAUAAUAUUGAUUAUUGCAUGAUAAUUAAUUGAAAGGUGCAAUUGCACCACUACCAGAUGGACCUGCGUUGUAUUAGCUAGUAGGUGAGGUAACGGCUCACCUAGGCGACGAUACAUAGCCGACCUGAGAGGGUGAUCGGCCACACUGGGACUGAGACACGGCCCAGACUCCUACGAGAGGCAGCAGUAGGGAAUCUUCGGCAAUGGACGAAAGUCUGACCGAGCAACGCCGCGUGAGUGAAGAAGGUUUUCGGAUCGUAAAGCUCUGUUGUAAGAGAAGAACGGGUGUGAGAGUGGAAAGUUCACACUGUGACGGUAUCUUACCAGAAAGGGACGGCUAACUACGUG